GAUGAACGCUGGCGGCGUGCCUAAUACAUGCAAGUCGAGCGAACGGACGAGAAGCUUGCUUCUCUGAUGUUAGCGGCGGACGGGUGAGUAACACGUGGAUAACCUACCUAUAAGACUGGGAUAACUUCGGGAAACCGGAGCUAAUACCGGAUGAUAUUUUGAACCGCAUGGUUCAAAAGUGAAAGACGGUCUUGCUGUCACUUAUAGAUGGAUCCGCGCUGCAUUAGCUAGUUGGUAGGGUAACGGCUUACCAAGGCAACGAUGCAUAGCCGACCUGAGAGGGUGAUCGGCCACACUGGAACUGAGACACGGUCCAGACUCCUACGGGAGGCAGCAGUAGGAAAUCUUCCGCAAUGGGCGAAAGCCUGACGGAGCAACGCCGCGUGAGUGAUGAAGGUCUUCGGAUCGUAAAACUCUGUUAUUAGGGAAGAACAUAUGUGUAAGUAACUGUGCACAUCUUGACGGUACCUAAUCAGAAAGCCACGGCUAACUACGUG
rnacentral:rRNA from 1 species